GAUGAACGCUGGCGGCGUGCCUAAUACAUGCAAGUCGAGCGAACGGACGAGAAGCUUGCUUCUCUGAUGUUAGCGGCGGACGGGUGAGUAACACGUGGAUAACCUACCUAUAAGACUGGGAUAACUUCGGGAAACCGGAGCUAAUACCGGAUGAUAUUUUGAACCGCAUGGUUCAAAAGUGAAAGACGGUCUUGCUGUCACUUAUAGAUGGAUCCGCGCUGCAUUAGCUAGUUGGUAAGGUAACGGCUUACCAAGGCAACGAUGCAUAGCCGACCUGAGAGGGUGAUCGGCCACACUGGAACUGAGACACGGUCCAGACUCCUACGGGAGGCAGCAGUAGGGAAGCUUCCACAAUGGGCGAAAGCCUGACGGAGCAACGCCGCGUGAGUGAUGAAGGUCUUCGGAUCGUAAAACUCUGUUAUUAGGGAAGAACAUAUGUGUAAGUAACUGUGCACAUCUUGACGGUACCAAAUCAGAAAGCAACGGCUAACUACGUG
rnacentral:rRNA from 1 species